rnacentral:ncRNA from 1 species
AUAAAGUUUUAUUCUGGCUUGAAUAUUGGUUUUAAAGUUUUUUUAUAUGUAAAUUUUAGUGUAAUUAUUGUUUUAAUAGUAAUAAUUUUAUUUGCAGUUUAAAGUUUUAAAUUUUAAGGAUUCUUAGAUUUAGAAAUUUUUAUAGUUUAAACAAAAUUUGUGCCAGCAGUUGCGGUUAUACAAAUUAUGCAAACCAAUUUUAUUUAAUCUAAUUAAAUGUAUAAUAAAGUUUAAUUUUGAAUUUUUUGGGUGAAAUCUAAAAUUUUUAAAAUCUUGUUGUUUGUUAUUGAAGUUAAGAAAUUUAUUUUUAAACUAGGAUUAGAUACCCUAUUAUUUUAAAUGUGAUUUUUUGUUAAAAUUAGUAAAAGUUAUGAUCUUCAAAAUUAAAGAUUUUGGCGGUAUUUUAGUCUUAUCAGAGGAACCUGUUUCGUAAUCGAUAGUCCACGAUUAUUAGUACUUUAAUUUUAAAUUUAUAUAUCGUCGUAGUUUGAAUGUUUUAGAAGAAUUUAAAUGUUCAUUUAUUUUUAUUAUAAGAGAAUUCAGAUCAAGGUGUAGUUUAUAUUAAAGAAGUAAUGGGUUACAAUAUAUUUAUAUUUGGUUCUUAUUUUUGUAAUGUAAGAUAAAUUGGAUUUGAAAGUAAAUUUUUAUAUUUAUGAUUUUUGAUUUAGCUCUAAAAUAUGCACAUAUCGCCCGUCGCUUUCACUAUAAAGUGAAAUAAGUCGUAACAAAGUAGGCCUAUUGGAAAAUGGGCCUGGAAUGAU